rnacentral:rRNA from 1 species
UACGAAAGGUGCAAGCGUUACUCGGAAUCACUGGGCGUAAAGCGCACGUAGGCGGACUCGCAGGUCAAUUGUGAAAUACCCGGGCUCAACCUGGGAACUGCAGUUGAAACCGCUUGUCUUGAAUACCUGAGAGGGUGGGGGAAUACCUGGUGGAGAAGUGAAAUUCGUAGAGAUCAGGUGGAACACCGGAGGCGAAGGCGCCUGCCUGGCAGUGUAUUGACGCUGAGGUGCGAAAGUGCGGGGAGCAAACAGG